ACAACGGGGUGCGACACGGUGACGUGGGGCGGAUCCCUGAAAACCGGUCUCAGUUCGGAUCGCAGUCUGCAACUCGACUGCGUGAAGGUGGAGUCGCUAGUAAUCGCGGAUCAGCAACGCCGCGGUGAAUGCGUUCCCGGGCCUUGUACACACCGCCCGUCAAGUCAUGAAAGUGGGCAGCACCCGAAGACGGUGGCCUAACCCUUGUGGGGGGAGCCGUCUAAGGUGAGGCUCGUGAUUGGGACUAAGUCGUAACAAGGUAAC
rnacentral:rRNA from 1 species